AAAUUUAUUAAUUAUAUAUAUAGAUUCUACCACUGCAUCGAAUGUAAGACGAUAUUUAUCCACUCGAGACAGUUAAAUUUUCACAUUUAAAACGCAAGGCUUGUCCGAUCGUUUUAAAUAUUUAAAAUUUAACUAUCGAGAGUGAAUAAUUAUCGUAUUACACGAGAUUUGGUGGUGGAAUCUGUUUUUCUAAUGAUUUUCUAACAUUAUGCAGGCAAACUUAUUCCUUCUUUUCAAAUGAUCUACAAAAAGAUGUGUUCUUUCUAUGUGACGUCAUCAGGCACGGUCGCCUAUUUUCAUGCCGUUACAAUAGGAAUUUCAGAGGAGAGCAAAAAAAAAAUCGACGUCAUAAUCGGAUUUUAACCAAUGAAGUACUGAGAUCAAACGAUCGGCAAAUGAUCAUCAUCAUCAUCAUCCACACGUUGAUUAAAUUGUUUUAUACAAUGCGUGCAGAAAGGAAUAAAUUGACGAAGAAUUAGAGAAACAUCUUAUAUCAGUGUAGAAGUCUGUCCGGUUCAACAGCUAUUUAUGUAAAUUAAUGUUCACACAUGCAAAAUAUGUUAUAUUAUGAUGUAUGAAUAUUGUCAUCUCUGCAACUAUGAAAUUUAGUAAAUGAGAAAAUAGAUCUGUAUUUCUAUCAAUUGUA
rnacentral:lncRNA from 1 species